rnacentral:lncRNA from 1 species
UGCUGAAGACUUGUGUCAGAAAAUUCUUUCUGUAAUUUGAAUCCUUUCUUGUAAUUUGAAUCUGCAACCCCUCUGGAGCGGUAGAAAACAAGCUUUUUCCCUAUUCCACAUGACAGCCCUUUAGAGAUUUGAAGGUGGCUGUCAUAUCACUUCUCAGUCUUCUCUUCAUUUCUCCACAUUAGGGUGUGCACCCAAAUAAUUUUGCCUUAGUGGAAGAGGGGGAAGGAGUGCCCCUGUCUGCCCCUUGAGCACCAAACACCAAAUAUAUAUGUCUCUUUAUGGGUCUCAAGAUCCCAUUCUAUGUGGGCAAGGCCAUGUCUUCUGAGCAGGCAGACCCCAGUUUGCCCUUAACAGUGAAGCUAGCGCCAACUUCAAUUAACAGCUUCCUGGUUUUGUUUUUGCCACCCAUGCAAAGGGAGGAGUGAAGCAGCAGCAAAGGAACUGCAUGUGGUUCCACACCACUCAUGCAUGUCCUGGCUUAUUAAACCUGGAUUUGAUCAUUAAAAUGUGGCUACUCAAUGAACGGGCAGAAGCAGCUCCCAUCAUAUGGAGAGUGCUCCCGAUUCACAUUGUUCCCAAUUCUUCCCUAUUGUUGCCUCUCCUCCAUCAGCAUGUCCAUAACAAGGUCUUUCCCCCAGAUAUAGUGCUUGAAUUUCCAUGCUAGCUUAGGCAAUACAGCAUUCAAGUGUCAUUCCUUUUAUAAACAACUGUCAUUUUCAGUGUUUAAAAUUCCCAGUAUUGCACUUCUAAUAUAUUCAAUUAAGUAGCAGCUACCUUCUGUUUGACUUUCCUUCUUCCAUGUAACAUCUUUAUUGCCAACCUUUUGCACCGACUGAUUGUCUAAGUAAGUAAUUGACUAUUCAUAGAUCGGUUAAUAUUUGUAAAGCCUUUGAAAAUGUCCUUUACUAGCUUGCAUUACUAUUAGACCAUCCCCUUGAUACCUCUGCUGCUCAGAUCAGCUUUAAUAUUCUAAAUAAUGCAUAAAGCAUACAUGUAUAGCUCUCUUGUUUGCCCCGCUCCAUCAGCUCUUACAUGCACAACUGAACCACCGACAUUUAUAAAGCUGUAAUUUGCCUGGACAUAGCACUUUUGUAACAAUCCUUUAUUCCUUCAAGCAGAGCUGGCUUGGCUUUGUGUUGUAUUUGCCACUCUAUUAUCUGGACAUGGCCUGGAAGCGUAGUUCGCCUUACAGGUGAUCACCUUGGUAAUAAACUUGAUACUACAUGGCAGAAAAGGUGAUACGCAGGUCCACUUCAUGCACCAGCCUUUGCCAACCUGGUGCCCUCCAGAUGUUUUGCUGGAUGGGGCUGAUGGGAGUUAUAGUCUAAAAUAUCUGGUGCGUGCCAAAGGUGCCAAAGACUGUCAUAGACUUAAUAGGCUGAGUACUCAUCUCACAAUAUACGGCUGCUGGAUCCCACAUAGUGUAGGCCUGGUUUGCAGAGAUCUUGUUGGAAAGAAGAAGCAUGGAUUGAAUUUUUCAUCAUAGCAAUUCUCUCUAGAACCCAGAGAUCCAAUUGGUCUGCAUAUUGUCUUGACUUCAGAGGAAAGGAUUGCUGGGGUGUAAGGUAAGGAGACUGCUGAUGUUUUCUCCAUCAAGUUCCUUUUUUAUGUGGCAGCUGUAUAAUUUGUUUCCCACUACUAUAAUACUUCUGUAUGUAUCCAAAUUAACCAUUCAAGACCAUCCUAACCAACCUGCAUUUUGCUUUGACUGGAGUGACAAGUUAAAUGAAUGGUUUAGUUGUUCAGGUAACUUGGGUAUAUAAAAACUAAUUUAUUAGCACAUCCAUUCAAUUAUAUUCUUCCACAAUUGUAUAUCUUAAUUAGAACAUGUAAUUUUCCCCUCCGCAAUUUAAUUUAACUGAUGUACUGAUUGCUUUCUUGUUUUAAAUUGCUCCCCUGUCCUAGAAGGAAGAGAGAGAGUUAAUGGGCCUAUACUCAACUGUAUGAGAAUCAGAAGAAAUACUGGAUUUUAAUCUAAAAUGCUCUCAUCAUGAUUUCUGUAUGGAAUAAUGUAUCAAUCUACUCUAAGGAAAUAAGACGCCAUCAAGGCUGACUGCAACCUGCCCUGGCUCAGAUUUUGGAAUAGUGUUAGCUGCUCAUUCCCAUCCAUUCACAAAUGGAUGUGAAUAGAUGCUAGGAGAGGAUAUAUUUAUUAGAUAUUAUCCUUCCUUAUGCUUGUGAGUUCAGCAGAGUGCCAUCAUUAGUGACUGCCCAACACAACAUAGAUGCAAGGGAAGACCCAUGUGGUCCUGCUACAAUAGUUCAGAAUAAGGAGCAGAACUUUUUCUCAUAAGCAAUGUUCCAGGAGACACGUGUCAGUGGUUAAGUAGGGUCAGAGUUAAAACUGGGUGGGGACAGAGGCAAAAAUAGGUGGAGCAAUUGAUGUGUUGUUGUUGUUUAGUCGUUAAGUCGUGUUCGACUCUGCGAUCCCAUCCAGAACAAGUCAUCUACCUGAUUCCUGGAUCUAGAAUCCAUCCACCCACCCACUAGGGCUCUGUCUUGCUGGGAUUUAGCCUCCUGCCUAUUGACCCUCAAUUAUUUGAACAACCUGUAGCUCAGUGGCAGAGCACAUGCUUUGCAUGCAAAAGAUCCCUGGCCUCUCCAGGAGGAGCUUUUUUUAAUCCCUAGAAAAUCUGAGUCUACAACUCUAUAUAUGGGCUAAAGGCAAGUAUUUGGUGUAGACAAUACUGAGCUUUGUUGUUGUUUAGUCGUUUAGUCGUGUCCGACUCUUCGUGCCCUCAUGGACCAGAGCACGCCAGGCACUCCUGUCUUCCACUGCCUCCCGCAGUUUGGUCAAACUCAUGCUGGUAGCUUUGAGAACACUGUCCAACCAUCUCGUCCUCUGUUGUCCCCUUCUCCUUGUGCCCCCCAUCUUUCCCAACAUCAGGGUCUUUUCCAGGGAGUCUUCUCUUCUCAUGAGGUGGCCAAAGUAUUGGAGCCUCAGCUUCACGAUCUGUCCUUCCAGUGAGCACUCAGGGCUGAUUUCCUUCAGAAUGGAUAGGUUUGAUCUUCUUGCAGUCCAUGGGACUCUCAAGAGUCUCCUCCAGCACCAUAAUUCAAAAGCAUCAAUUCUUCGGUGAUCAGCCUUCUUUAUGGUCCAGCUGUCACUACUGGGAAAACCAUAGCUUUUACUAUACAGACCUUUGUUGGCAAGGUGAUGUCUUUGGUGAUCAGUUAUACAAUAAUAUACAAUACAAUUACCAAAUGAGGUAAGUAAGGAGAGUUAAUGUGGUCAUGCUAGCGCCCAGUAACCAUUGAAUUCAGUGUAGCCAUGAUGAACCAAAAUAGAUGACAGCAUUGGAUAAGUCCAUGUAAGAUGAAGUGACAGCUAAAGUGAAACAUUGGUACCUCGAUUCAUGAUCAUAGAAUCACAGAAUUGUUAGAAGAGUUAGAAUAUACCCCGAGGGUCAUCUAGUCUAACCCCCUGCAAUGCAGGAAUCUCAACUAUAGCAUCUAUGACAGAUGGCCAUCCAACUUCUGCUUAAAAACCUCCAGUGAUAAGGAAGAGAAAAUCUUGCCUGUCUGGAGGAGAUGAACCUCAUCAUGUGGCACAGAUGGCUGUUUAAUUUGUUCAGUUAAUAUCUUGAGGGCUCAUCCACACCUAGGAGUACACUGCACAUUUUACUAGUGUGUAUUGACAGUCACAAGUCUUAUCUGCCUUCUUAGUUCUGGUUCAGGGUUAUCCACUGGGGUUUGUGUAUGAACUCAGAUUAACAACCGGCGCUAAAGAACCAGUGAGAUUUGUGAAAAUUCUAUUGUUAAAGUUGAAACCUCAAUGAAAUCAGAAGUCACAUGCAGUCAGGAAAUAAAAUGUACACUGAUGGCAUUGUAUUUCUUGUUUUUCCUUGCGUAUCCUAGGAAUACUACAAAUCUCUUACAAAUAAUUCAGAAACAUGGAGAUGGAUGU